GACGAACGCUGGCGGCGUGCUUAACACAUGCAAGUCGAACGGAAACGCCCCUUUGGGUGUACCCGUGUUGCGAACGGGUGAGUAACACGUUAGUAACCUGCCCUUGACUUCGGGAUAACUUCAGGCAACUGGGGCUAAUACCGGAUACCAAUUCUUGCUGCAUGGUGGGGGUUGGAAAGCUUCGGCGGUUUUGGAUUGACUUGCGGCCUAUCAGCUUGUUGGUGGGGUAGUGGCUUACCAAGGCUUGGACGGGUAGCCGGACUGAGAGGGCGACAGGCCACAUUGGGACUGAGAUAAGGCCCAGACUCCGACGGGAGGAAGAAGUGGGGAAUAUUGAACAAUGGGCGGAGGCCGGAUGCAGCAGCGCCGCGGGCGGGAUAACGGCCUUCGGGUUGUAGACGGCAGUCAGGAGGAGCGAAGCUUGUAGUGACGGUACCUGCAGAAGAAGCACCGGCUAACUACGUG
rnacentral:rRNA from 1 species